UUUGUUUUGUUUUUUUGUUUGUCUGUUUGUUUGUUUUUUAACAUGUCUUCUUUCUCCAUCCAGGCCUAGAUUCGUGUAAAAGCUAUUUUCUACCGACCACAUCUUUCUGGGUUCGAUUGUUUCUGGAAAAGGUUGCACAUCACAUAAUAGGAAAUCCCAAGAGUGUGAAGACUGUUUCCUGCCAGUGGAAGCCUUGUUGUGGUUGGCUGUUCUGACCAUAGAGACACUGAGGUUCGCACGUUGCUGAUGCGAAUCCUCGGAGUGAUGGAGAUGAGAGUGACGGUGGUGUUAGGAAUGCAGCUGCCAGCUAUAAGCUCUUUCACACGGUGGAACUGUAGCCUGUUAUUGUGGCAUGCAUUGGCUUCAGGGGCAAUUUGAUGGAGGUUUCAUUUUCUACCCCACGAGGGCAGUGCACCUCCAAUGCCACAUGGUAAAUUCCAGACCAGCAACCAUGCUGAAAUUGGGAUUCUUCUGGAGUUAGGUAAAGGGUAAGCCCCGAUAGACUGUGAACAGUGCCUCACCGGCACCCAAGCCGGAGUCUCAGCAGGAUUCCUCUAAGCAACUAAACUUAGUUCAGUGCCUCGAUUCUGCCAGCUGCUCCCUUUCCACCGAGCAGACAUCGCCUGGGUAUGUCUACCCUCGUCCCGCCUGUGUCACUGCUGUGCAGCUGUGUAGAAACAUGCUGAGAAUGAGGGUUCCCUGGCACGAUGGUUCACUUCUUGCGGGGCAGAGAAAUGUUUGUGUUCUCAUUUUGGCCUCCUAUAUGUGGCCAAUAAAGAAAUAAUUAAGAAAGUUAGAAUGCCUACUGUUAACCACGAGACAGAGAUGUGUGGGGGAGUGGUGGGAGCCUGGAGAGAAGGCUGAAGCUUUCUCAGUAACAGGCAGAGCUCUUCAGGGUUUUCUAGCAGGAAGGCACUAUGUAGGAAGGGUCUUCUCUUGGUAGGUCCACUGUCUGCC
rnacentral:lncRNA from 1 species